GUAACAAGGUCUCCGUUGGUGAACCAGCGGAGGGAUCAUUACCGAGUUUACAACUCCCAAACCCCUGUGAACAUACCAAUUGUUGCCUCGGCGGAUCAGCCCGCUCCCGGUAAAACGGGACGGCCCGCCAGAGGACCCCUAAACUCUGUUUCUAUAUGUAACUUCUGAGUAAAACCAUAAAUAAAUCAAAACUUUCAACAACGGAUCUCUUGGUUCUGGCAUCGAUGAAGAACGCAGCAAAAUGCGAUAAGUAAUGUGAAUUGCAGAAUUCAGUGAAUCAUCGAAUCUUUGAACGCACAUUGCGCCCGCCAGUAUUCUGGCGGGCAUGCCUGUUCGAGCGUCAUUUCAACCCUCAAGCCCAGCUUGGUGUUGGGACUCGCGAGUUAAAUCGCGUUCCCCAAAUUGAUUGGCGGUCACGUCGAGCUUCCAUAGCGUAGUAGUAAAACCCUCGUUACUGGUAAUCGUCGCGGCCACGCCGUUAAACCCCAACUUCUGAAUGUUGACCUCGGAUCAGGUAGGAAUACCCGCUGAACUUAAG
rnacentral:rRNA from 2 species